UACUCCAGGGGAUCUUCCCCUCCCAGGUAUCAAACUCAUGUCUCCUGUAUAGUGGGCAGAUUCUUUACCACUGUGACAUGUGGGAAGCCCAUGUUCCUAUAUUCCAUGGUAAUCAUCAAGUUCAUUACAAUUUCCUAAGAUUGCUAUGCUAAUGGGAGUGAUAUUAUGCUUGGAUUUUUAAAAUUUUAUUUGCCUGGCUCUCUCAAAGAGAAGAGCAGUCAACUACAUUUUCCUGCAGCUUAAUCCUUAAAUGGGUUAAUAUAACACAUAAACACAAAAUAGCUGAUGCCACGUUUUCUCAAGGAACAUAAAGCAUUUUGACCAACUUAAUUGAAAGUCAAAAGGAUUACAAUGUUUUCCAAAUAUAAUAAAUAUUUCUGAGUUGAUGCAAAAAGUUGAUGCUUUUGUAU